UACGGAGGGUGCGAGCGUUGUCCGGAAUCACUGGGCGUAAAGGGCGCGUAGGUGGUUCGGUAAGUCGGAUGUGAAAUCUCCAGGCUCAACCUGGAGGGGUCAUUCGAUACUGCCGUGACUAGAGGUCGGUAGGGGAGUGUGGAAUUCCUGGUGGAGCGGUGAAAUGCGCAGAUAUCAGGAGGAACACCCGUAGCGAAGGCGGCACUCUGGGCCGAUACUGACACUGAGGAGCGAAAGCGUGGGGAGCGAACAGG
rnacentral:rRNA from 1 species